GAACACCUUCAACUUGGACAACAGCGGAUGGAGCACAGUUCCAAGUAAUGAUUUAGUGAGCAAGUCAGCCAGUUGACGAGAAGUAGGAACAUGAAACAACUGAAUAAAACCACUCUGCAACUGAUCUCGAAUAAAAUGACAGUCCAGCUCGAUGUGUUUGGUACGCUCAUGGAAAACAGGAUUCUGAGCUAUAUGGACAGCAGCCUGGCUGUCACAAAACACAGAAACUGGAAGGGAAACAGAUACUCCAAGAUCAACUAUUAAACGAGACAGCCAAGAUAAUUCUGCAACAACCUUGCUGAGGGCUCUAUAUUCUGUCUCAGCAGAAGACAAACAACAGGUUGCUUCUUAGACUUCCAACUAAUCAGACAACCACCCUAACACACAAAACCCAGUAACAGAUCUCAUUGUAUCAGGGCAUGCAGCCCAGUCACUAUCAGAAUAACCAACAACAGAGAAAUCAUCACUGGCAGAAUAAAUGAGACCCACAGAACAAGUGCCCUUAAGAUAUCUUAAAACAUGUAGUGCAGCAGUCAUAUGAGGAAGUCUGGGAGAUUUCAGAAAUUGACUCAGAUGCUGAACAGCAAAACAGAUGUCAGGCCUAGUAUGAGUCAGAAGUAGGAGCUUACCAACAAGACUCCUAUACUGAUCAGGACAAGAGAGAAGGUCACCAGAAUCAGCAUGAAGUUUGACAUUGAUAACCAAAGGACAAACAACAGAAGAGACACUGGCACAGUCAAACUGAUGCAGCACGUCAGAAAUAUAUUUAUGCUGAUUAAGGAUCAUUCCACCAGGAACAACUGACAUCUCAAGGCCCAAAAAAUAAUGCAAAGGCCCUAAAUCCUUAAUUCUGAACUGAUUAUCCAGAAACAAUUUCAGGGCAGAAAUUUCAUCACAGUCAUCCCAGUAAGAAUAAUAUCAUCCACAUAAACUGCUACAAUCACAAGGGACCCUGGUUUACCUUUGAUGAAUAGAGAUAAUCAUUCAAAGAGUGUAUAUAGCCUCUGGAAUAUAGAGCAGAAGACAAUUUGGCAUACCAUUGUCUGGAAGCCUGUCUUAACCCAUACAAGGAUUUAUUCAACUUGCAAACAAGAGAAGAAGAGGCAGAAGAAGCAGAAGCAGAAGAAGGAGCAGAAACAACCAAACCUGGAUGCAGCUUCAUAUAUACCUCCUCAUCUAAAUCACCAUGCAAUAAAGCAUUGCUAACAUCAACUUGAAAUAAUUCCCAAUGAUUUUUGACAGCCACAGCAAUAAGCCAUUUAACAGUGCACAUUUAACCACAGGAGAAAAGGUAUCAGUGAAAUCAAUUCCCUCAACCUUAGUAUCACCUCUAACAACAAGUCUGGCUUUAUACCUUUCAACACUGCCAUCAGCUUUAUACUUGAUUUUAUAAACCCAUUUGCACCCUAUGGGUUUCUUACCAGGAGGAAGAGAAACAAUAUCCAAGGUAUGAUUGGCAGCCAGAGCAUCAAACUCCUGUCUCAUAGCAUCCUGCCAAGCUGGAACAGAGGCAGCUUGAGAGUAGUAGAGAGGUUCAAAUUCCAGAUAGGGAGAAGAGGAAGAAGAUCCAGAAAAGGCAGGAAGUUGACAUAUAUAGUCCUUGAGAUAGGAAGGAGGAUUAUGUUGUCUCCCAGACCUUCUGGGAACGGGAGAAAAUGAGGAAGGAGGCAAAGGAGGAGGAGGAACAUCAGGAUUAAACUGAGGAAGGGAAACUGGGCUGGAAGGAGUGGAAGCUGUGUCAUGAGGAAUAGGAGAGGGACAAUCAGGUGUAGACAAGUCUGCCUCAGGAAAGGAGUUAUCAACAAGAGGAACAUUAGGGAAAGAAGGUGGACAAACAGAAGAAGCAGGAGUAGCAGAAGAAGGCACAGAUUUGAAAGGAAAGCAGGUUUCAUGAAAAAUAAUAUCUCUGGAGAUAAAACACUUUCUGGAAGAAAGAUCAUACAAUUUAUAUCCCUUUUUGGCAAAGGGAUACCCUAGAAAGACACAGGAAAUGGCCCUAGGCUGUAAUUUGUCCCUUUGAGGAAUUGGUACAGCAGCAUAAGCAAGGCAGCCAAAAGCCCUUAAAUGGUAGUAAGUGGGAGCUUUAUAGGCUGUAAUUUGACCUUUGAGGAAUUGGUACAGCAGCAUAAGCAAGGCAGCCAAAAGCCUUUAAAUGGGAGUAAGUGUGAGCUUUACUAUGCAGAACUUCAUAAGGAGAUUUAUUGUGCAAUAUUAUAGAAGGUAUUCUGCUAAUCAAAUAAGUAGCAGUUAACAAGCAAUCCCCCCAGAAUGAUAUUGCUAACCCAGAUUGGAAGAGUAAGGCCCUACAAGUCUCAAGAAGGGUCCGAUGCUUCCUUUCAACAACACCAUUUUGUUGAGGAGUAUGAGGGCAAGUUGUUUGAUGAAUGAUGCCUUGUUGGCUAAAGAAAGAUACACCAACAGUACUGGAUCCCAACUCCAGGGCAUUAUCACUCCUUACAAUUUGGACCACAGAAUGAAAUUGGGUCUUAACCAUACACAGGAAUGAUUUAAGUAAAGAAAAAGCAUUGCUUUUGGAACCCAGUAAAUGUGUCCAGGUUGCCUUGGAGUAAUCAUCAACUAUUGUGAGGAAGUAUCUUCUUAACCAUACACAUGAAUGAUUUAAGUAAAGAAAAAGCAUUGCUUUUGGAAUCCAGUAAAUGUGUCCAGGUUGCCCUGGAGUAAUCAUCAACUAUUGUGAGGAAGUAUCUGGAACCAGAAGAGGUAGGAGUGUGAUAAGGCCCCCAGGUGUCCACAUGAAUCAUUUGAAAAGGUCUAGAGGUGCUUAUUGUGCUAUUAGGAAAAAGGAGCCUGGUCUGUUUGGCCAUAGGACACACAGAACAAGGGAAAGGUUGCUUUGAAGCAAAUGAAAAAGACAAACCAGAAAUCUUUCUAGAGGUUCUUAUUGUGCUAUCAGGAAAAGGGAGCCUGGUCUGUUUGGCCAUAGGACACACAGAACAAGGGAAAGGUUGCUUUGAAGCAAAUGGAAAAGACAAACCAGAAAUCUGUCUCAUGUUAGCAAAUGAAGUAUGAGCUAGUCUUAAAUGCCAAAUGUAAUUCGUAUCAGUUGUAGCUACAUUAUUACAAAUGGUAUCAUGAAAAUCUAAAGACAAGCCAACAUUCUUGCUAUCAGACAAACUGUCAUCAUUACAAGUAUUAGACAUAGAGUACACAGAAGCAGAAGGAUAACCAGUAGAGGAAGAAGGGGAAGUGGGAACCCAAGCCAGUUUGUAUAGACCAGCUUCCUCCUUACCAAGAUCUAGAGGCCUCUUCAGAGAAGGGUCCUGUAGCAUGUGGAGGAAACAGGAAGUUGCAGU
rnacentral:lncRNA from 1 species